GUGAAAUCCAAAUGGUUGGUGUUCCAGCAUCUCACGAGCUGGACCCUUCCGUCCCCACAUACACCUUUGUCGAACUGUCGGGAGUUGGUUCUGCCUUCUCUCACCUUUCAAACUCUUAAGUUUUUGAAUGAAGUCUUGGUGAAAACCAAAAACA
rnacentral:misc_RNA from 1 species